CCUACGGGAGGCUGCAGUGGGGAAUAUUGGACAAUGGGGGGAACCCUGAUCCAGCGACGCCGCGUGAGUGAAGAAGUAUCUCGGUAUGUAAAGCUCUAUCAGCAGGGAAGAAAAUGACGGUACCUGACUAAGAAGCACCGGCUAACCACGUGCCAGCAGCCGCGGUUCUACGGGGGGGGCAAACGUUAUCCGGAUUUACUGGGUGUAAAGGGAUGGUAGAGGGUGCAGCAAGUCUGAUGGGAAAGGUCGGGGCCCAACCCCGGGACUGCAUUGGAAACUGUUUAACUGGAGUACAGGAGAGGUAAGCGGAAUGCGUGGUGUAGCGGUGAAAUGCGUAGAUAUUAGGAGGAACACCGGUGGCGAAGGCGGCUUACCGGACUGUAACUGACGUUGAGGCUCGAAAGCGUGGGGAGCAAACAGGAUUAGAUACCCGAGUAGUC
rnacentral:rRNA from 1 species